rnacentral:rRNA from 1 species
CCUACGGGUGGCAGCAGUGAGGAAUAUUGGUCAAUGGACGCAAGUCUGAACCAGCCAUGCAGCGUGCAGGAAGACGGCUCUAUGAGUUGUAAACUGCUUUUGUACGAGGGUAAACGCAGAUACGCGUAUCUGUCUGCAAGUAUCGUACGAAUAAGGAUCGGCUAACUCCGUGCCAGCAGCCGCGGUAAUACGGAGGAUUCAAGCGUUAUCCGGAUUUAUUGGGUUUAAAGGGUGCGUAGGCGGUCUGAUAAGUUAGAGGUGAAAUCCUGAGGCUCAACUUCGGAAUUGCAUCUGAUACUGUUCGGCUAGAGAGUAGUUGAGGUAGGCGGAAUGUGUGGUGUAGCGGUGAAAUGCUUAGAGAUCAUACAGAACACCGAUUGCGAAGGCAGCUUACCAAGCUACGUCUGACGUUGAGGCUCGAAAGCGUGGGGAGCAAACAGGAUUAGAUACCCCUGUAGUC